AUAGAAUUUACUCCCCAGGUCUUUCUUACCCAGCAUCCCAUUUGCAUGCUCACAGUGAGUAGGAAUACUUCAUGCUUAGGUACAUAUGUAGGAUAAAGUUUUCGCAUGACCCUGCCUCUCUCUAUUCCCUUGAUCUUGGCUGCUGAAGCUGGUUUUGAGCCAGGAAAAAUGAAACAAGAAGAUAAAAUGAAUUUGAAACUCAAUGGAAGAAGAGCUCACAUUCUUUUUGGAAGAAAUAUAGGACUUGGCAGAAUUGAACAAGGCCAAGGGAAUCUCACAACUGAUGACCUCUUGCUGAUGAGUCUGGAGAAGUCCCAGUGCAAAAUCACCAGCAGCAGCUCUGUUGAAAAUCACUUUUCAACAACAGCAGCAGGGAUAAGCAGAAUCUCAAGGAAAGCCACAAGAGAGGGAAUAUCUGGCUCUCUAGGUCCACCCCACAAUAACCAGACAGAAAACCCUCUUGACUCUUCUGACUAUUAGGGAAAGCAACAGCCUAUCACUCCCCCAACGUUCUGGAGUCUUUCUGCUUUGAAGGAUUUCCUGCUUUUACCUUGUUCCUGCUUUGUAGCAAAAGGCUAAUCCUAUAUUUCCUACAACAGAUCCUAUGACUGUAUAAUUUACAAGAGUUUGGCAUACAUAAUCUAAGUAUUUCUAAGUAGUACUCUUUUAUAAUGAUUUAUUAUAAACAAAUUAAUGGAAUGAUGAAAUUCAUGAACAGUAAAUCCAUUUUCCUCCUCAUUUCUAUUAAUUAAAAAUACAAUACCUUGAAGCCUGGAUAUUUUGGAGUUAUAGAUGCUGAGAUCACCACAGCAUUUAAUUCCCUAUUCAGUCCAUUUCAAUUCAUAGAGAUUUAUAUCUUUCUUUAACCUUCUUCCCCCAAAUGGAAAGAUUUCCUAAUAUGACUGAAUAUUAGAAGAGAAAGCAACAGACAAACUAAUUCACUUAUACCCAAGUCCUAUAGGAGAAAAUUUUGCCCAAGCAAAGAUUCUCAAUACUAUUGAUUUUAUUAAAAACCUGUUCCUUCUAUAGAACAUAUGGGGAUGGGAGGGGUAAUGAAGAAAGGGAAAAUAAAUCUGGCGGGAUAUUAUGAAGUAACUAAAAG
rnacentral:lncRNA from 1 species